AUUGAACGCUGGCGGCAGGCCUAACACAUGCAAGUCGGGCGAGCGGUGGACGGGUGAGUAAUGUAUGGGGAUCUUCCUGAUGGCGGGGGAUAACUACUGGAAACGGUAGCUAAUACAGACUACCAUCAGUUGAACCCAUAUGGGAUUAGCUAUUAGGUAAGGUAACGGCUUACCUAGGCGACGAUCCCUAACCGGUCUGGGAGGAUGAUCAGCCAUCCUGGGACUGAGACACGGCCCAGACUCCUACGGGAGGCAGCAGGGGGGAAUAUUGCACAAUGGGCGCAAGCCUGAUGCAGCCAUGCCGCGUGGAUGAAGAAGGCCUUCGGGUUGUAAAGUACUUUCAGUCGGGAGGCGUUACCGACAGAAGAAGCACCGGCUAACUCCGUGCCAGCAGCCGCGGUAAUAC
rnacentral:rRNA from 1 species